AUUUUUCCCCAAAUUAAAAAAAAAAUCACAAUUUUCAGGUCACACAGAGUGAAGAACGACGCUGCUUCCCCAAAUAUGAAAAUUGUCAAGAAUGAUUCAUAGAUCUAAGAAUGACUGCAUCUUCUCCAUAGCUUAUAUUUCUCAAGACUGAUCCUUUACAAAUUGAAGAACGACACAUUUUUCAGUUCAUGGUUGUUCACCGAUGACCUACGAAAAUCCCUCAUAGAUUUGUCAUUGUUCAUCAAGGACAGAAUAUAAGCUUCACUUAAGUAGAUGAUGUCUCAAAGCUUCAUCACAUUGAAAGGAUUUUGUUGGUAUACGGUUUAUAAGGACUUUGCCUGUAGCUGCCUCUGUGUAUCUUCCGGUUCCAGUCACAAAUAAUAGUUCCAAGGCGGGGAGAUGAACUAGUUAGCUCAUCAACAAACUUUGCAAAUCAGGUCUCCAAAUCUUUCAAAGAAGAAGUAGUGAACAGGCGGACCUUACUGGAAUGUUCCUAUAGGAAGAAAAGACGGACGAAUAUUAUAGCUAGUGAAACAACACUGCUUCCAAUGCAGAUAUUCAACAUUUCUCAACUAAAACAAAGCUUCCACCAAAGAGGUGCAUAUACUCUAGUAUUUACCCAUUGUUCAUCAUUUAUAAACCACACAUACAACUUCAACGCCACACGUGACAUUGAUCCUUUACUACGUCCAUCGUUUGCAGCAAGCUUGAGUGGCAUAUUUUCACUCAAAAACAGGGCAAAAAAAAGCAAGAAUCAACAAUAAUCCUGCAGCAACAACAUUUGAUAAUACUCAUUACUGUAAUCCCUUGGGGAGCUGCUGUCUUUCUUCAUGCAGAUGGAAUCCUCAUGAUGGAAAUUUAUAGAGUUCUUGGACCUGGUGGCUACUGGGUGCUUUCUGGCCCUCAUAUCAGUUGGAAGACUAAUUAUAAGGCCUGACAAAGCACUAUGGAGGACCUUCAAGAAGAACAAAGGAAAAUUGAAGAGAUUGCAAAACUUCUUUGCUGGCAUAAGAAAUCUGAAAAGGGUGAGACUUCUAUUUGGCAGAAAAGGAUGGAUGUCGACUCAUUCCGUUCUACACAAGAAGAUUCUGAAGCUACACUUCGUAAGUCCAUAGAUGCAGAUGAUGUCUGGACGAACUGUGUUUCAAGAGGGUCUCAGUAUGCGGAAAGAUAUCUGGAAGUCUCUAUACUUACAGUUUUGUGAUAUCUGAUAUGGUGGAUAAUUACCAUGUAAAAUUACCAUCCAAAGAUGUUGGUGCAAGGUACAAUAAAAUGGAAGCAUGCAUAAAACCAAGCAAAGGCAAUGGUGAUGAUGAAGAUCUAAAACCAUUCCUUGAGAGACUUUAUGUUGUUCCUCCAACAAUUUCUAAUAGAAUAGUUUCUGAAGUCUCCAUCGAGGCAAAUCUGGAAGACAACAAAAAAUGGAAGAAGCAUGUUAGUGCUUAUAAGAAAAUUAACAUACUCAUAGACACAUGAAGGUACCGUAAUAUCAUGAACAUGAAUUCUCCACUGGAGGUUUUGCUGCAGCUCUUCAAUCUCCCAAGUUGUGGGUUAUGAAUGUUAUGCCUACGAUAGUCGAGAAAAAUAUCUUGGAAGUCAUAUAUGAACGUGGUUCUAUCGGAAUUUAUCAUGACUGUUAUGACUUUCUCUCUUCUAUGCUCAAUUAUAUACUUAUGUGGUAUAGUUGUGGCUUUGAUAACUUAUCAAGGAUUUUUCCUUCAUAGGAAGUUCAAGUACUAUUGCCACUCGAUUUUCUCUGUGUGAUUAUUAAUCUUGUAUUUUUAAGUCUUUGAUUUUAAAUGCAAAAAACCAUCAAAGGAAACCUUUGUUCUUCAUUAAUGACUUCAGAAAUGUCAUAUGAAAAGACACCUUGAUCUAAUAUUACUUUCAUUUCUAUGUUAGUUUGCACUUAUAAUUCUUGUUUAGGUAUAGUAAUUAACAUAAGCUUAUAGGAUACUAUAAUCUUGAUCUUUUAGGUGAAGAGAUAAAUAUAAUAAGAGGUCAUAAGUUUCCGAGGGUGUAGAGUUUAAUUACACCUAUGCACACAACUAUAUAAGUUUGUUAUUUUCGGAUCAUUCGUAAAAAAUUAAAAGUCAGGCGGACCUUACUGGAACUACCUAAAGUAAGAAAAGACGGACGAAUAUCAAGAGAUGAUAAGUGGUGUAUUUUAUUCAGACAUGUACUUAUUAUAUUGCAGAGAGUGUGACUCCACUGUCUUGUUUCAGGCCAUUUCUAGAAGACCAACCGGUGACAUAAGGUAUCUGAUCCAAACAUUCACGAUUGCGUUUGAAAUGGAGGGUUAUUGGGAGAACAGUCAUAGAGAAAACAAAAAGAAAACAAAGCGUACCGUCAACCGGUAUGCCACCGCCAAGAUACUGACAUACGAAGAUAGCUGCUUUCAUUGGGAAAAUACCGGUAAUUGAAUUUGAAUUGUGGCCAAAAGUAAACUCGAUCUAUCGUAGUGAAUUGAUGAUUAGUUUUUCUACUAUUGUCAUAUACAUUUGAAUGCAUUUGGUUUUUUGGAUUUUAUUGAUAUUAGAGAUCUUUAAGCAAUAAGUUUCUAAGUAUUGGUUGUACAAGACAUGUUUCUCGAAGUUUAUUUGAAAUAUAUAGCGUCGAUUUAUUUAUUAGU